rnacentral:lncRNA from 1 species
GAGAAGCAGAGACCGUGAGAAAAGAAAGAAGAAAGGAAAAGAAGAAAGGAAAAAGAAGAAGAAAAAAGGGAGGAAGAAAGGAGGUAAGGCUAAUCUCUUCAAGUUGGAAUGUAAUUUAUCCAUUGUUCCAAGUGAUAAAUGUGUGAUUUAUGUUAAAUUUUUAGGGUUUUAACUUGUAGUAAUAAAAUGUCAAAUUUAGGUGACAUAUGUACGAUUUGGAACUUAAGCUUGGGGAUUAAUUAAGUUUCAGUUUCAGUAAGGUAGGCAGUAAAAUUUGUGGGAACCCUAGAAUUCGAUUUAGGAUUUUUGAUUAAUUAAUUGUGGAAAUGAUUAUAUAAAUGGAAUAUUUCACUUGGAGUUGAUUUUAUGAAACAAAAUGUAUAUUAAAUGGGUGGAAUUAUGGUUACUAGUUUCACUAGAUUGGAGAGUAAAAUUAGUUUUAAACUUGAGAAGAAGGUUUUGUUGAUGAAUUAGUUAUUAGAAAUGGGAUUAGAAUGUGGGAUUAGCUCCAAUUGAUCAAAAGAAAAUUUGGGAAAUUCAUUCGAGACCAAUUUUAGUUAAGUAUUAUAGAAGUAGAUCUUAAAGUUUCUUAAUUUAUUAGUGAUUGGUUGGUCAUCUUGUUAUGUAUUCCAAGUGGUGACGAGGAGAUUGGAAGAGCCUAUCCAACAUCUUAGGUUCAACUUGUGUUAUGUGAGUGGAU